rnacentral:rRNA from 1 species
UACGGGGGGGGCAAGCGUUGUUCGGAAUUACUGGGCGUAAAGGGCUUGUAGGCGGCCAACUAAGUCGGAUGUGAAAUCCCCAGGCUUAACCUGGGAACUGCAUCCGAUACUGGUCGGCUUGAAUCCGGGAGAGGGAUGCAGAAUUCCAGGUGUAGCGGUGAAAUGCGUAGAUAUCUGGAGGAAUACCGGUGGCGAAGGCGGCAUCCUGGACCGGCAUUGACGCUGAACAGCGAAAGCUAGGGGAGCAAACGGG